rnacentral:misc_RNA from 1 species
UUUCCGUAGGUGAACCUGCGGAAGGAUCAUUAAAGAGAAUAUGGCCUUCGGGGUAGAUCUCCCACCCUUUGUUCUUAUUACCUUUGUUGCUUUGGCAGGCCCGUCUUCGGACCACCGGCUUCGGCUGGUCAGUGCUUGCCAGAGGACCAAAAACUCUUAUUAUUAAUGUCUUCUGAGUACACUAUAAUAGUUAAAACUUUCAACAACGGAUCUCUUGGUUCUG